rnacentral:lncRNA from 1 species
UGCUACUCUUCUGGAAAAGGGGAUUCGCCUACCCCUUCACGUCUUUGUCGUCACCCUCCUAGGAUUCAUAGGAGUGGGCUUUGCUCAGUUGGUGCCCAACUCUUACAUCGACAUACUGGCGUUCGCUGCCUUCUGCCACGAACUGGGGGUUACUCCCUCCGUCGACCUUUUCUUCACCCUUUUCUCGGCCGGUAGAUCCCGAGAACGAGGGUUCAAGAUGCUGAGCAAACAAUCUCCACGCCCAAACGCUAAGUUCGAGAAGAGGC